CGCAUCACACGCGCGAGUCGAGCGGUAACACAGAGAGCUUGCUCUCGGGUGACGAGCGGCGGACGGGUGAGUAAUGUCUGGGAAACUGCCUGAUGGAGGGGGAUAACUACUGGAAACGGUAGCUAAUACCGCAUAACGUCGCAAGACCAAAGAGGGGGACCUUCGGGCCUCUUGCCAUCAGAUGUGCCCAGAUGGGAUUAGCUAGUAGGUGGGGUAACGGCUCACCUAGGCGACGAUCCCUAGCUGGUCUGAGAGGAUGACCAGCCACACUGGAACUGAGACACGGUCCAGACUCCUACGGGAGGCAGCAGUGGGGAAUAUUGCACAAUGGGCGCAAGCCUGAUGCAGCCAUGCCGCGUGUAUGAAGAAGGCCUUCGGGUUGUAAAGUACUUUCAGCGGGGAGGAAGGUGUUGAGGUUAAUAACCUCAGCAAUUGACGUUACCCGCAGAAGAAGCACCGGCUAACUCCGUGCCAGCAGCCGCGGUAAUACGGAGGGUGCAAGCGUUAAUCGGAAUUACUGGGCGUAAAGCGCACGCAGGCGGUCUGUCAAGUCGGAUGUGAAAUCCCCGGGCUCAACCUGGGAACUGCAUUCGAAACUGGCAGGCUAGAGUCCUGUAGAUGGGGC
rnacentral:rRNA from 1 species